CCUUCUAUGCUGGGAGGAGGCAGCGUUUGUCCAUAGCACCCCAUGUACCACAUCAUCAUUCCUUUCUUACUUAGUGUCAUACAAGUGAUGCAAUCAUGAUUUGCUAGCCUUUUAACAUAUCCCUGAUGGAGUGGAGUGGAGGGGACAGCCGGAUUGGAAAUACAAUAAGGAUGGUGCAUGGAGAACAUGCUCUGUUGCCAUCUUCAUCCGCGAGUUGGCUCCCAAAUCUAAAAGGCGCGUCUGACGAAACAGGAGUGUAACAGGGCACGGCUGCUGAACCAGGACAACCACAUAUGAGUUUUUGAUUUCUUAUUUGUUCGUCAGACCUGGUCACAAAUAAUGAGUUUGAGACAAACCUUGUGUCAUGUGUUAUCGCACUCAGAUAUUGGAGCCUUGGAGAAUGUAAAAGAAAUGUUAAAC